rnacentral:rRNA from 1 species
GACGAACGCUGGCGGCGUGCUUAACACAUGCAAGUCGAACGGAAAGGCCCUGCUUUUGUGGGGUGCUCGAGUUGCGAACGGGUGAGUAACACGUGAGUAACCUGCCCUUGACUUUGGGAUAACUUCAGGAAACUGGGGCUAAUACCGGAUAGGAGCUCCUGCUGCAUGGUGGGGGUUGGAAAGUUUCGGCGGUUGGGGAUGGACUCGCGGCUUAUCAGCUUGUGGGUGGGGUAGUGGCUUACCAAGGCUUUGACGGGUAGCCGGCCUGGGAGGGUGACCGGCCACAUUGGGACUGAGGUGCGACCCAUACUGCUACGGGAGGCAUCAGUGGGGAAUAGUCCACGAUGGGCGGAAUCCUGAUGCAGCAACUCCGCGUGGGGGAUGACGGCCUUCGAGUUGUAAACCGCUUUCGCCUGUGACGAAGCGUGAGUGACGGUAAUGGGUAAAGAAGCACCGGCUAACUACGUG